rnacentral:rRNA from 1 species
GACGAACGCUGGCGGCGUGCCUAAUACAUGCAAGUAGGACGCAGUUGCGAACGGGUGAGUAACGCGUAGGUAACUACCCCUUAGAGGGGGAUAACUAUUGGAAACGAUAGCUCAUACCGCAUACUAGCAGAUGGACCUGCGUUGUAUUAGCUAGUAGGUUGGGUAAUGGCCUACCUAGGCAACGCAACAUAGCCGACCUGUGAGGGUGAUCGGCCACACUGGGACUGGGAAACGUCCCAGACUCCUACGGGAGGCAGCAGUAGGGAAUAUUGGGCAAUGGACGCAAGCCUGAUCCAGCAAUGCCGCGUGUGUGAAGAAGGCCUUCGGGUUGUAAAGUACUUUCAGCGAGGAGGCGUUACUCGCAGAAGAAGCACCGGCUAACUCCGUGCCAGCAGCCGCGGUAAUAC